AAUUCUAGAGCUAAUACAUGCUAAAAACCCCAACUUCGGAAGGGGUGUAUUUAUUAGAUAAAAAACCAACGCCCUUCGGGGCUCCUUGGUGAUUCAUAAUAACUAAACGAAUCGCAUGGCCUUGCGCCGGCGAUGGUUCAUUCAAAUUUCUGCCCUAUCAACUUUCGAUGGUAGGAUAGUGGCCUACCAUGGUAUCAACGGGUAACGGGGAAUUAGGGUUCUAUUCCGGAGAGGGAGCCUGAGAAACGGCUACCACAUCCAAGGAAGGCAGCAGGCGCGCAAAUUACCCAAUCCCGACACGGGGAGGUAGUGACAAUAAAUACUGAUACAGGGCUCUUUCGGGUCUUGUAAUUGGAAUGAGUACAAUUUAAAUCCCUUAACGAGGAACAAUUGGAGGGCAAGUCUGGUGCCAGCAGCCGCGGUAAUUCCAGCUCCAAUAGCGUAUAUUAAAGUUGUUGCAGUUAAAAAGCUCGUAGUUGAACCUUGGGCCUGGCUGGCCGGUCCGCCUCACCGCGUGUACUGGUCCGGCCGGGCCUUUCCUUCUGGGGAGCCGCAUGCCCUUCACUGGGCGUGUCGGGGAACCAGGACUUUUACUUUGAAAAAAUUAGAGUGUUCAAAGCAGGCCUUUGCUCGAAUACAUUAGCAUGGAAUAAUAGAAUAGGACGUGCGGUUCUAUUUUGUUGGUUUCUAGGACCGCCGUAAUGAUUAAUAGGGAUAGUCGGGGGCAUCAGUAUUCAAUUGUCAGAGGUGAAAUUCUUGGAUUUAUUGAAGACUAACUACUGCGAAAGCAUUUG
rnacentral:rRNA from 1 species